GUUUAUUUUGAAGAGUGUUUGCUGUAUAAUUGGAUCUAAUAAAAUGUUUAGAGGUGCAGUAGGCAUGACUUUGGGUAGAUAA
ensembl:miRNA